rnacentral:rRNA from 1 species
AGGGAAUCUUCCACAAUGGACGAAAGUCUGAUGGAGCAACGCCGCGUGAGUGAAGAAGGUUUUCGGAUCGUAAAGCUCUGUUAUUGGGGAAGAAAAAAAGACGGUACCCAAGAAGAAAGUCCCGGCUAACUACGUGCCAGCAGCCGCGGUAAUACGUAGGGGACAAGCGUUGUCCGGAUUUACUGGGCGUAAAGGGCACGCAGGCGGUUUUUUAAGUCAGAUGUGAAAGGUACCGGCUCAACCGGUGACAUGCAUUUGAAACUGAAAGACUUGAGUAUUGGAGAGGCAAGUGGAAUUCCUAGUGUAGCGGUGAAAUGCGUAGAUAUUAGGAGGAACACCAGUAGCGAAGGCGGCUUUCUGGACUGUAACUGACACUGAGGCACGAAAGCGUGGGGAGCAAACA